rnacentral:rRNA from 1 species
UACGGAGGGGGCGAGCGUUAAUCGGAAUUACUGGGCGUAAAGCGCUCGUAGGCGGCUUGGUAUGUCGGGUGUGAAAUCCCCGGGCUCAACCUGGGAACUGCAUCCGAAACUGCAUUGCUCGAGUAUGGGAGAGGGAAGUGGAAUUUCCGGUGUAGCGGUGAAAUGCGUAGAUAUCGGAAGGAACAUCAGUGGCGAAGGCGACUUCCUGGACCAAUACUGACGCUCAGGUGCGAAAGCGUGGGGAGCAAACAGG